CUUCUCGAUGCGCAUCUUGCACGCGGAGCUUCAGCAGUACCUGGGGAACCCACAGGAGUCGCUGGAUAGACUGCACAGGGUGAAGACUGUCUGCAGCAAGAUCCUGGCCAAUUUGGAGCAAGGCUUAGCAGAAGACGGCGGCAUGAGCAGCGUGACUCAGGAGGGCAGACAAGCCUCUGUCCGGCUGUGGAGGUCACGUCUGGGCCGGGUGAUGUACUCCAUGGCAAACUGUCUGCUCCUGAUGAAGGUGUCCUUUGUUCUCCCUAUCUUCAUGGAGGGUGUUGUUUUCACCUGAUAGUUUUGAUUUUAUGAUUGAUGCUUAGAACACCUGAAGACAGGCUUCCCCACAAGACCUUCUUAGGACGUCACCCCAGAGCUCUCAGCCCCCAGGGAAACAGCUUAGAAAUCAAGGAGCUGAACUGAGGCUGUCAUCUGUUUUUCCGUGUCUCCUGGCUCUCGCCAGCCUGUGCAAUGGUGUUUUUUGGCUCCUCUCUUUGUUUGGAACGCACCCCACACCUGGCUCACCUCCCACACUGGGCGUCA
rnacentral:sRNA from 1 species